GGAAGAGCAACAGAUAGGUCCCUGAACCUUGGAUAAGACACAGUAUGAAACCUCUAGCCUGUUCUAGAGGAACAGAUAGGUCCCUGAACCUUGGAUAAGACACAGUAUGAAACCUCUAGCCUGUUCUAGAGGAACAGAUAGGUCCCUGAACCUUGGAUAAGACACAGUAUGAAACCUCUAGCCUGUUCUAGAGGAACAGAUAGGUCCCUGAACCUUGGAUAAGACACAGUAUGAAACCUCUAGCCUGUUCUAGAGGAACAGAUAGGUCCCUGAACCUUGGAUAAGACACAGUAUGAAACCUCUAGCCUGUUCUAGAGGAACAGAUAGGUCCCUGAACCUUGGAUAAGACACAGUAUGAAACCUCUAGCCUGUUCUAGAGGAACAGAUAGGUCCCUGAACCUUGGAUAAGACACAG